rnacentral:rRNA from 1 species
AGUGAACGCUGGCGGCAUGCCUAACACAUGCAAGUCGAACGGCAGCACAGUAAGCGCUCUCUCUUACGGUUGGCGACUGGCGGAUGGGUGAUGAAUACAUCGCCAUCUACUUUUUCUUGGGGGACAACGUCGGGAUUCAUACCCUAUUCCCGCUUACGAUCAACGGGUGAAAGCAGGAGAUCUUCGGCCCUUGCGCGAUCCAAUGAGCCGAUGUCGGAUUAGCUAGUUGGCGGGGUAACGGCCCACCAAGGCGACGAUCCGUAGCUGGUCUGAGAGGAUGAUCAGCCACACUGGAACUGAGACACGGUCCAGACUCCUACGGGAGGCAGCAGUGGGGAAUAUUGGACAAUGGGCGAAAGCCUGAUCCAGCCAUGCCGCGUGGGUGAAGAAGGCCUUCGGGUUGUAAAGCGCUUUUGUUGGGGAAGAAAAGCAGCGGGAUAAUACCCCGCUGUGAUGACGGUACCGAAAGAAUAAGCACCGGCUAACUUCGUG